UGCCUGUGAUGAUUUGCCAUGCUAAUACUGAUGCACUAGCCGGAGCGUGUGCUCGCUGUGCUGGUAGUGUCUGAGUGUACCCAGCUUACUGAGGCUG